rnacentral:rRNA from 1 species
GACGAACGCUGGCGGCGUGCCUAAUACAUGCGAGUUGAGCGCUGAAGGUUGGUACUUGUACCGACUGGAUGAGCAGCGAACGGGUGAGUAACGCGUGGGGAAUCUGCCUUUGAGCGGGGGACAACAUUUGGAAACGAAUGCUAAUACCGCAUAAAAACUUUAAACACAAGUUUUAAGUUUGAAAGAUGCAGUUGCAUCACUCAAAGAUGAUCCCGCGUUGUAUUAGCUAGUUGGUGAGGUAAAGGCUCACCAAGGCGAUGAUACAUAGCCGACCUGAGAGGGUGAUCGGCCACAUUGGGACUGAGACACGGCCCAAACUCCUACGGGAGGCAGCAGUAGGGAAUCUUCGGCAAUGGACGAAAGUCUGACCGAGCAACGCCGCGUGAGUGAAGAAGGUUAUCGGAUCGUAAAACUCUGUUGGUAGGGAAGAACGUUGGUGGGAGUGGAAAGCUCAUCAAGUGACGGUAACUAACCAGAAAGGGACGGCUAACUACGUG